UAUUCAGCAACUUCAAUCCCUACCUCCGCGUGGUACCGGCUGGAAACUACGAGCAACCUAAAGGAAGUUCGUGUAAUCAACGCCGGAGGGAACUUUGGUAGUAGGCUGACAGGGAAGG
rnacentral:ribozyme from 1 species